UAAACCGAUUAUAUUAAAGUGAAUUGGCAAUAAAUUAGCGCAAGUGAUAUGAGACUUAAUCGCCUUUACUUCAAUGUACCUCCACGCGAAUGCACGAAUCAUCUUUUAAUUUAGGAUGUGACAAGUCAAAUUAGUCUGUAUGCAGUCUUUCAGUUACAAUAGCAACAUUUAAUAUAGUAAAGCUGUGAAUAAAUGGAGAAAUUAAAGCUGCAUUGUCAUUGAUCAACCUCUAAAUUUCCUCCUCCCAAGACCAAUUCCUGGAGAAAAUGUGUGUAACCUCCAACACGAACGUAGUAAAUCUUACCUUUUUAAAAAUACUAUAUAGUUGCAGAAGUAGAUUUCAGAAUAAUCCUUCAAAUAUUAUUAGUUUUAUCUGACAAUUAUUGUACAAAAUUUAGUGGAGUAAUUUAUUUAAAUUUCAUCUGGCUUGUAUUUCCAUUGCAUGUAAUUCUAAUCAGUGUAUAUACUGCAAGAGAGUCCUAAUAAAGAAAUAUUAUUAUUAUUAUAUUAUAUUAUUAUACUUGGCCGUUUAGAAAUGUUAUAUAAUGCAGCUUGGACUGUACGACUGCAGUUGAACACUCAAUAUUAUAGUGGGUUUGUUAAUUAAUAUAGUGCGAGCUAAUUAGUGGUCAGUGCGUGCUACUUCCAUUCAAAACACUUCACCUUGUGUGUGAUUAAAUCCUAAUCCCAUUUAUCGGAAACCUAUAAGACACGUUCAUAAGAAGAAAUACAAACAAGACCAAGGACACAAUCACACAAACUUCAAUAGAGUGUAUUUAUAUCCUUCCUUAUUUUCCAAAUAAGAUUUGCUUCGUCUCGUUUAGAAUGGAUUAUACGCCGGCUGAUAGUAUUUUAGGCAAAACAUUAUUUUAACCAAGCUUAAUCCUUCCUGUUGGUCGAUGCACACGAAACGGCGCAAAAAUAUAACUGCACGAAUUAAAACAUUCUCUUGAAGUUUCUCGAAAUUCAGCCAGGAAGGUUUUGCUCAUUGUGCCAUUCCGCCGAUAUUACAAAUGAAACCCUUGCCUUUGAUGUAAUAAUGUUCUUACACCAUCAAGCAUUUUCACAAUCAGGCACCGUAAAAGGGGCCUGGAUGUGAUCAUGCGGGACGAUAAAGAAAUUCAAGAAUUACAAAUGAUGCCAUGCAUGGUAUACACGCAAAGCAUUCUUCACAGUUCACUUACAGUGGAAAGUUUUUUCCCAAAUCCUAACUAUGGAAAUAGCAUGGAUUUUCGUUGGAAAUUAUAAUACGGAAAUCCAAUUCUCAUACUCAUUGCUAUUUCCAUACUACGUAUAUAGUAUAGAUAUACUAUGGAUUUACUGUUGCAAUGGACCAUUCCCCUGCAAUUAACCAAAAUUUUGAACUCAACAAGUCUAGACAAAUAUUUCAUCACAGCUUGAAAGAGCAUCACAAAAUUAGUAAUAUUCCAAAGUUUCGUUGCAAAAUGUUGUAAAAUGUGGAUAAUAUAGCCUUGCGAAGUUUGCAAUUUUCAGUCAUUUUAGAUUACAAACGGGAAAUGGUUACCACUUCUGUGCGUAAUCUAAAAUGACUGAAAAUUACAAACUUCGCAAGGCUAUAUUAUCCGCAUUUUACAACAUUUUGCAACGAAACUUUGGAAUAUUACUAAUUUUGUGAUGCUCUUUCAAGCUGUGAUGAAAUUUUUGUUUAGGCUAGUUAAGAUCAAAAUUUUGGAAAAGUGGUAACCAUUUCCC